GACAGAGGGGGCAAGCGUUGCUCGGAAUCACUGGGCGUAAAGGGCGCGUAGGCGGCCACCGCAAGUCGACUGUGAAAUCUCCGGGCUUAACCCGGAAAGGUCAGCCGAUACUGCGGGGCUAGAGUGCAGAAGGGGCAACUGGAAUUCUCGGUGUAGCGGUGAAAUGCGUAGAUAUCGAGAGGAACACCGGUGGCGAAGGCGGCCAACUGGACAGAUACUGACGCUGAGACACGAAAGCGUGGGGAGCAAACAGG
rnacentral:rRNA from 1 species